GUUGUGUUCAGAAGCAGCAUGGAAACAUUAGUUUGAAGCAAUUUAAGAUGCUUAAAAAACUUGGUGGAGGGGACAUUGGGACUGUUUAUCUGUCUGAGCUAAUGGGCACAAACUGUCAGUUUGCUGUGAAAGUUAUGGACAAUGACUUUCUGAUCAGCAGGAGGAAGAUGACAAGAGCGCAGACUGAAAAAGAAAUACUGCAAAUACUGGAUCAUCCUUUUCUACCUACACUCUAUGCUCAUAUUACCAAUGACAAGUAUUCAUGUUUAGUGAUGGAAUAUUGUCCA
rnacentral:misc_RNA from 1 species